CCAGUGAUCCCACCCAUCAACCAAUGAUGCCGUCCAUCCCAGUGACCCCACCCAUCGUUCAGUGAUCCCACCCAUCCCAGUGAUCCCAGCGAUCCCACCAACCGUUCGGUGAUCCCAUCCAUCCCAAUGAUGCCAUCCAUCCCAUUGACCCCACCCAUCGUUCAGUGAUCCCACCCAUCCCAAUGAUACCAGCGAACCCACCAACCAUUCCGUGAUCCCAUCCAUCCCAACGAUCCCAUCCAUUACAAUGAUCCCAUCCAUCCCCGCAAUCCCACCCAUCAUUCAAUGAUCGCCUCCCGUCCCAGCGAUCCCACCCACCAUUCGGUGAUCCCAUCCAUCCCGGUGAUCCCAUCCAUCCCAGCGAUCCCACCCAACAUCCAAUGAUGCCGUCCAUCACAGUGACCCCACCCAUCGUUCAGUGACCCCACCCAUCCCAGUGAUCCCAGCAGUCCCACCCACCAUUCAAUGUUCCAAUCCAUCCCAAUGAUCCCACCCAUCCCAGUGAUCCCAUCCAUCCCACGAUCCCACCCAUCAUUCAAUGAUCCCAUCCAUCCCAUAACCACCACCUCGGUGACCACACUGAUCCCGCCAAUGAUCCCAUCCAUCCCAAUGAUCUCAUCCAUCCCACUGAUCCCACUCACCAUUCGGUGAUCCCAUCCAUUCCAGUGAUCCCAUCCAUCCCAAUGAUCCCAUCCAUUAUCCAAUGAUGCCAUCCAUCCCAGUGAUCCCAUCCAUCCCAGUGAUCCCAUCCAUCCCAGAGAUCCCACCCAUCAUUCGGUGAUCCCAUCCAUCCCAGCACCACCACGUCAGUGACCCCAGUGAUGCCACCAGUGAUCCCGCCCAUCCCACCAAUGAUCCCAUCCUUCCCAGUGAUCCCAUCCAUCAUCCAAUGAUCCCAUCCAUCCCUGUGAUCCCCCCCAUCAUCCAAUGAUGCCAUCCAUUUCAGUGACCCCACCCACCAUUCGGUGAUCCCAUCCAUCCCAGUGAUCCCAUCCAUCCCAGGGAUCCCAUCCAUCAUCCAAUGAUGUCAUCCAUCCCAGUGACCCCACACAUCAUACAGUGAUCCCACCCAUCCCAGAGAUCCCAGUGAUCCCACCCACCAUUCGGUGACCCCAUCCAUCCCAGUGACCCCACCCAUCAUCCAAUGAUCCCAUCCAUCCCAGCACCACCACCUCGGUGACCCCACUGAUGCCACCAGUGAUCCCACCCAUCCCAUCAAUGAUCCCAUCCAUCCCAAUGAUCCCAGUCAUCACACCCACCAUUCAAUGAUCCCAUCCAUCCCAAUGAUCCCGUCCAUCAUCCAAUGAUGCCAUCCAUUCCAGUGACCCCACCUAUCAUACAGUGAUCCCACCCAUCCCAUGCAUCUCAGUGACCCCACUCACCAUUCAGUGAUCCCAUCCAUCCCAAUGAUCCCAACCAUCCCAGCGAUCCCAUCCAUCCCAGCGAUCCCACCCAUCCACGUGACCCCACCAAUCAUUCUGACCCCAUGGAUGCCACCAGUAAUCCCACUCACAAUCCCACCCAUAUCACCCAUUGAUUCCCUGACCCCACUGAUGAUCCCAUCCAUCCCACCAAUCCCACUGAUCCCAUGACCCCACCGAUGAUCCCAAUGGUGAUGUGUCUCCCAUUGAUCCCAUGACCCCACCGAUGAUCCCAAUGGUGACGUGUCACCCAUCCAUCCCAUGACCCCACCGAUGAUCCCAAUGGGGACGUGUCUCCCACUGAUCCCAUGACCCCACCGAUGAUCCCAAUGGUGUCAUGUCACCCAUCGAUCCCGUGACCCCACUGAUGAUCCCAAUGGUGACGUGUCUCCCAUUGAUCCCAUGACCCCACGAUGAUCCCAAUCGUGACAUGUCUCCCAUUGAUCCCAUGACCCCACGAUGAUCCCAAUGGUGACGUGUCUCCCAUUGAUCCCAUGACCCCCCCAGCAAUCCAACCCAUCCUACAGAUGGUCCCAUUUAUCCCAGCGAUACCAGCAAUCCCACUGAUCCCACCGAUGAUGCCACCAGUGACCCAUUGGUCCCGUGACCCCACUGAUGAUCCCAUCCAUCCCGCACGUCCCAGCAGUCCCACCAAUGAUCCCAUCCAUCCCAGUGAUCCCACUGAUACCAACUAUGAUCCCAUUUGUGAUCCCACCCGUGUCACCAUCGAUCACAUGACGUCAGUGUUGAUCCCACCCAUCCCACCAAUCCCAGACAUCUCAGUGAUCCCAUCCAUCCCAGCGAUCCCACCGAUCCCAGUGAUCCCACCAAUCCCAGUGAUGAUCCCAUCCAUCCCAGUAUGAUCCCAUCCAUCCCCCCAAUCCCAGU
ensembl:lncRNA